rnacentral:rRNA from 1 species
UACAGAGGUCUCAAGCGUUGUUCGGAAUCACUUGGCGUAAAGGGUGUGUAGGCGGUGUGCUAAGUCAGAUGUGAAAGCCCGGGGCUCAACCUCGGAACUGCAUCCGAUACUGGCAUGCUAGAGAAUUGGAGAGGAGUCUAGAAUUCACGGUGUAGCAGUGAAAUGCGUAGAUAUCGUGAGGAAUACCAAGUGCGAAGGCAGGACUCUGGACAUUUUCUGACGCUGAGACACGAAGGCCAGGGGAGCAAACGGG